rnacentral:rRNA from 1 species
UAUAGGGGAGCCGAAGGGAAACCGAGUCUUAACUGGGCGUUAAGUUGCAGGGUAUAGACCCGAAACCCGGUGAUCUAGCCAUGGGCAGGUUGAAGGUUGGGUAACACUAACUGGAGGACCGAACCGACUAAUGUUGAAAAAUUAGCGGAUGACCUGUGGCUGGGGGUGAAAGGCCAAUCAAACCGGGAGAUAGCUGGUUCUCCCCGAAAGCUAUUUAGGUAGCGCCUCGUGAACUCAUCUUCGGGGGUAGAGCACUGUUUCGGCUAGGGGGCCAUCCCGGCUUACCAACCCGAUGCAAACUACGAAUACCGAAGAAUGUUAUCACGGGAGACACACGGCGGGUGCUAACGUCCGUCGUGAAGAGGGAAACAACCCAGACCGCCAGCUAAGGUCCCAAAGUCAUGGUUAAGUGGGAAACGAUGUGGGAAGGCACAGACAGCCAGGAUGUUGGCUUAGAAGCAGCCAUCAUUUAAAGAAAGCGUAAUAGCUCACUGGUCGAGUCGGCCUGCGCGGAAGAUGUAACGGGGCUAAACCAUG